CAGUAGCCGCGGUAAUACGUAGGUGGCAAGCGUUGUCCGGAAUUAUUGGGCGUAAAGCGCGCGCAGGCGGUUUCUUAAGUCUGAUGUGAAAGCCCCCGGCUUAACCGGGGAGGGUCAUUGGAAACUGGGAGACUUAGAGUGCAGAAGAGGAGAGUGGAAUUCCAUGUGUAGCGGUGAAAUGCGUAGAUAUAUGGAGGAACACCAGUGGCGAAGGCGACUCUCUGGUCUGUAACUGACGCUGAGGCGCGAAAGCGUGGGGAGCAAACAGGAUUAGAUACCCCUGUAGUCCCUGUCUCUUAUA
rnacentral:rRNA from 1 species